rnacentral:rRNA from 1 species
CACGUAGGGGGCGAGCGUUGUCCGGAUUUAUUGGGCGUAAAGAGCUCGUAGGCGGCUCAGUAAGUCAGGUGUGAAAACUCCAGGCUCAACCUGGAGACGCCACCUGAUACUGCUGUGGCUAGAGUCCGGUAGGGGAGCAUGGAAUUCCUGGUGUAGCGGUGAAAUGCGCAGAUAUCAGGAAGAACACCAGUGGCGAAGGCGGCUCACUGGCCCGGUACUGACGCUGAGGUGCGAAAGCCAGGGGAGCAAACGGG